rnacentral:lncRNA from 1 species
UGCAAUAGCCAAAAUGGUUUAUCCUCCCCAAAAUUAUUCAGUAACCAAAGCCAAAGAAAAUUUUGUAGCGUGGUGGUGGUGGCGUGGUGCCGGUGCAGCUGAAAAUUUUGUGGCCACCGCCAAAGAGACAUUUUUACACAAGCAGUAGAAAGCUCACAUUGACGGGAUCAUGGGAAAGCAUGCAAAGUGCAGAUCAGCAGAUGCAACUGCAGACCGCGAGACAGUAGAACGCGUGACUGCUGGUUCUCUGAUUAACACAACUCUGCUACUCCAUCCCAUAGUCCACGCUCGAGGUCACUCCAACUGAUAUAUGAAUAUAUGAUGUACAACUUCUCCGCCGCCAUGGAGAAGAAGGGAUCGUCUGCUGAUCAGAUCAUCGACGGUAGAUGCUAAUGCUGCGCAGGCACGUAUAGGCUUGCCUGGAACUGGAACGGACGGGGAACAAUUGGGACGGUUUCAUUUAGGGAUGAAAACGGGACGGAUACAGCCGGAUACAGGGUCAUCCCGUAUCCUACCCUAAUGUAUUUUUCUCGGAUAUGGGACCGGAUACGGGUAGUUAAGAUUCGGGACGGAUACAGGACGGGAUCGGGUAAUAAUCUGGACGGGUAAGAAACGGAUAACAGAUAUUACUCGGAUAGGUACCGGAUAAUUGUCGGGUAGUUCAUCCGAUGAUAUUAAUUGUCCAACCAUCCAUAAGUUAAGCAAUACAUAAUCAUGUAUAUGAUAGAUCAUAUGUAAGAAAGGAAACCGGUAAAAUUGACAUCAUGCAGUUCAAAGUUGCUUAUCACAAGGACAUUGUAGAACCAACACCGCAAUAUUUAAAAUUCAUAAAAUAUUCUAGUUUCACUAAAAUAUUGUAAAUAAGUUAAAAAAACUAAUAAACAUUUUAUAUGAAGAUAACUCAAGUCCUCGUAUGAAAAUGAUAAAGUGAAGUACUGAUUAUGUUGAAACUUGGAUACUUACACUAAUUUCACAUGUAACUCGUACAAAUAAGUGAAAGUGAAAGGAAAGAAACGUGGGCAUCUUAUAGAUCUUAUGAUCUAAACAUUUUUCAUGGUUACAUAUGGACAUAUGUUGUAUCUCCGUAAAUUUUCACGAUUUUUUGAGGCUAUUUAUGUAUUAUUAAUUUCUUGUCAUAGAAAACUAUCAAAAUACAAUUAAAUCAUUAAAAUAUUGUUUAAACAAAAAAUUGAUGUAUUACAAAGUCAUAGAUCUCUUCAAGCUCUACAAUUUUCAUAUAAACUUUAUCUUCAUCCGAUUUCAUAUGUAAAAGUUAUGAUUUUAUUACUAUAUUAUGCAGAAAAAGAAAAAACGGGUACCCGAAUUCCGGGUACCCGUAUCCGACCCGGGAUUUUCGGGUACUGACCGGGUAUUAGGGAUUCCGUAUCCUACCCGUAUCCGAGGUUCAAUAUCCGGGUAAUACCCGUAUCCGUCCCGACAAACAAAAUACCCGUAUCCGUAUCCGAAAUUACGUCCCGUUUUGGUACCCGUAUCCGAUACCCGUUCCGGGUACCCGUCCCGUUUUCAUCCCUAGUUUCAUUGGCCAGUCAGGGCUGAGACCACCUCGGUCUUCUUCCCGUACAUCACGUUCCACAAGUCCAGCGGUCGGGUACAACGGCUACUGCUCUGCCGCCGCGGCGAGCGGGGCAGACGUGUACGGUGUAGCAGCGAUGUGCGGUGCCGCGUGUCCCGCCGCCUGUAGGAACCGCUCGACGCCGAGGUGCGGCAGGAGGAGGCUGAGGCCGAGUCCGUCCUGCUGCGGCGGCUGCAGGUUGGCCUCGUCGGCGCCGGUGACGCGCUGCACCAUGGCGCGGAAGGUGGCGGCGUCGGUGCUGAUGUACGUGGUGGGCGCGCGCUUGGACGGCCGCGGCCGGCGCCGCUUCCCCGCGUGCCCGCCCGCCGGGCCCAGCCGGCACCGCGUGGACGAGGACGGCGACGCUACGCCCGUCGAGGUACAGUCCAUCACUGCCACGACGCCUUGCAUCAGCAUCGCCGCUGUCGCCGUGGCGACGAGGCCAGAGGUAAGGCGGGCCGAUGGAGCGGAGCUAGCCGGCACGGGCGACGACUGGGAUGUGUGGGGCUGGCGGCGAGUUUGGGAGGAGCCGAGGAGGCAUGGGCGCGGUGGGACUGGAGGUCGGACGUGGACCAUUGGAAGAUGAAUUUGAGUAAGUUUUCGGGUCCGUGUCGGCACAACACACAGGCCGGCGUGGCAGCAUCUGCUGUGAGGAAAUGGCAUGGGGUUUCAAUCGGAUGGCUGACCUUUUCUGGAUGACGUGGCUGCUGUGAGGCACUGAGAAUCCUCGUAGCUAUUAAGACACUGAGAAUCCUCACAUUGACGGGAUCAUGGGAAAGCAUGCAAAGUGCAGAUCAGCAGAUGCAACUGCAGACCGCGAGACAGUAGAACGCGUGACUGCUGGUUCUCUGAUUAACACAACUCUGCUACUCCAUCCCAUAGUCCACGCUCGAGGUCACUCCAACUGAUAUAUGAAUAUAUGAUGUACAACUUCUCCACCGCCAUGAAGAAGGGAUCGUCUGCUGAUCAGAUCAUCGACGGUAGAUGCUAAUGCUGCGCAGGCACGUAUAGGCUUGCCUGGAACUGGAACGGACGGGGAACAAUUGGGACGGUUUCAUUGGCCAGUCAGGGCUGAGACCACCUCGGUCUUCU